UACCAAUAAAUGUUCAAAUCUGAACAAUCAAAUGCUUCUAACCUUUAUAAUUUGUAGCUCUACUUUGCCAUCCCCCACAAACAACAUUGGAUCCUAUGCUGCAUCAACCUUCUUUACAAACAGAUCAACAUUUUUGAUUCACAUAAGAAGUUCAACAAUGACGAGGUGUAUCCCUUGUGCGAUAAUCUGGUUACCAAUUUUUUGACACUUGCGGUACAUGCCAAAGCAUACACAAAGUUGGAUUUCAUGAAGUUCACGUGUUUCAACCCCCAAUGCCCCCAACAGAAAACACACUACGAUUGUGGAAUUUUCACAAUGCUCUUCAUGAAGCAAUGGGAUGGGAAGAAAAUGGCAGAAUUUUGCAAGGACACUUACGACCAUCGCGCGCUCAUCACAGAAGAGAUCCUCACUUCACAACUCAACACCCAAGAUCCAAGCUGGGUUCUGAAGAUGAAAUGAGAAGCCUGCCUAGCCGUGUUCAAUCGAAUAAAUAUCCGUGCUACAUAAGCCAUCCUAGAAGCAUACAACACAAUAAACGACGGCGCUUCUACCAACUAUGUGUUUUUUUGCGCUUGCUUUCUAUAAGACACUACUUCUAUAUUCCCAACUAGAAAUCUCAGCUGUGUCCACAACUUGUUUCCAUUGUAGUCAUCGGUUAACCUACAACAUCUACUUUUUAGAAUACAUUUUUACCCUUUCUGGGUGUUCAAUCUCUAUUUUGUGAAAUACUUACAAACAGAUAUAUCGAAGGUUUA